GCCGAUGAUGCCGAAGAUGAAGAAGACGAAGAAGCAGAGCAGGAGGACAUUCCCCAGCAUGGGCAGCGUGUCCAGGAGCAGGUUCACCAGGAUCCGCAUACCUAGGUUGCCAGCUGGGCAGACUUAAGGCCGGAGCUGCUGGGCCCAUCUUGCCUCAGCAGGGCAGCACCCACCUACAAUUGAAGCCAGCCCAGGAAAAACAGAGCCCAGGACACAACAGGGACAAUUCUUGACAACAGCCUGGAAGGACUGCAGGAGGUGAACCUUAUGAAAUUGCUGUAAAAUGUGCAGUCAAGUAAUUAGCUAAGGCACGUCGUCGGAUGGUUCCUCUCUGCCCUCAGUUCCCCCGGCACUGGGCUCAGAAGGUGGAGGCAGAGAGGAGAGGCAGAGAAAGAAAUGGAGACAGAGGACAGAGAUGGAGACAAAGACCAAGAAAGGCAAAGACAGAGAUGUCUGCCUCAGACCAUCCUUCCUACUCAAGUCGAAGCACACCUAUCCCCAGCCCAGCCCUCCUCCAGGCGGUCUCUGAUUUCCACCCCACACCAGUGAAGCCUUCCUGCCUCCAGUUCCCCCAGAUGUUCACUCACCAUCGCUCAAGAUGAACUUAUCUGGUUUUGCUUUCUUAGUGUGAUGCCUCGGGCCUUCAGCCUGGGGUAGAGGCCAGGACCAGACUCCCUGGCAACCCCAUGAGUGUGGCUGAAGGCCCUGCUUCCCCGGGCGAGAGGGGAAAGAGGACCCCAGAGUCCCCAGGACAUCCAGUGCUUUGGUGAGUGCCCAGAGCACCAGCCCAGGACGGGACGCCUGGGUGCCACUCCUGGUGGGGCAGCCCUGAGGCCGGCCUUGCCCCCGCGGGGCCCCAGUGGCCUCAUCUACAGAAGACAGUGGUUCCCAUCCGGUCAGCCUCUCGAGGCUGGGACAGGACCUCAGAGGAGGAGCCCCCAGAGCCAGAAGCUGCCAGCAGUCCUUCCACCCCCAUGGGGAAGGUACAAAUUCUUAGCCCAUCCCCAAGCCCCUACGCACAGGCCCCAGCCUGUCUCCCCAGCCGCACCUCCCUCUGCUCACCACCCCACAUCUAACCCUGCGGCUCCAGCCGGACUGGCAGACGCCCCCAGCAUCCCUACUCUUCACCCUCACACACACACACUGCCCCCACCGACAGCACCCUCCCCCAUCACCACCUCCAGGAUUCCUAUUACUAGUACCCUGUUGGGCGGGGGGGUGCAAUGCUAGGUCCACUCCCCAGGACAGCAGCACCCCAUGCCGGUGUGGCCUAGCCAGGCUGACCCCCUUCCAGCCCCCCGGAAAGCCCUCACACACACUCACAAGGUCAUCUCCCCUCCUUUCUUAGACCUCAGCUGACUGGUCCUCUUUUCUGGCCCCUGGGCUGGGCUGGUAGCCCUGCAGUGAGCUGCCCACUGCCCUGCCCUCCCUCCAUCGCAGCACUUAUUACGCUGUCGGCCUUCGUCAGGUCAUGGCUCUGCCCAAACUGACCGCAUCCUAAGCAGGAGGCCCAGAAGGGGUGUUCCGCAUCCUCCGAUCUAGCCCGGGGCCUGGCAGAGUGGCCCCCGAGGAUGGCCACGAAGGAGUGGCAGAUGGGUGGAUGGAUCCAUUCGACCAAUAUUUAGUGAGGACCUACUAUGUGCCAGGCGCUGUUCUAGGUUCUAGGGGUGCAUCGGUUAAAACAAACAAGUGAAUAAACGGACCAACUCCCCUGCUCCCAGGAGGUGGACAUUCUAGAUACGGGUAGGGAGAGACAAAACCAAACACAUACUAAAUAAAUAAGUACAUCUCCUCAUUUGUUGGAUGGUGUUAACGAAAACAGCAAGUGGAGGAGCGGAAAGGGACGGGGGGGUGCCAGGCUGGGCCAGGGGUAGGACAGGUACAACCUGGGGGCCCGAAAGGCCUCGC